UGGAACAAAUAAAGAGUAAGUGGAUUCAGAGUGAUACAGAGUGUGACAAGGCUGGCCCUUUUAAUUACAGGUACUACACAUUUUCACCAGCUGGGUGGACUGCAGGAAUGUGACAUAAAAUGUCUUGCUCAAGGACACAACGCGCCACCAGGAACUGAACUCACAACCUCCCAAUC